GGAAGAAGAAAUACCUGCCAAAUGCACAAAAAGAAAUAGGACAAGAACUCCGGGUUAGAAAUUCACAGCGCUCAGUCCCAAGGGAUUGGGAACUUGCUGUACAGAUGAUCUCACUGUGAAAGUUUCAGAGACUCAAGGGGGUUUAUUAAUAGUUGGGGCACUGAAACCUCUGCUGCUUGUAGCAGUGACCUUUACAAUAGCAGGUCCCUGAACAAGAUCUUCUAUUCUCGGGAUAUGGGAGGCAUCAGCACAGUAGAAAACGAAGCUGACCAUCUCUCAGGAGGCAGCAGGCACCAACUCAACCUGGAGAGAAACUCUAUGAAUAUAAUCUAUGUGGCAAAGCCACCAGAAGAAAUUCUAACCAUAUUACACCCAAGAGAAAUUACACAGCAGAGAAAUGCAGUGAAUGUAAAGAAUAUGGGAAAGUGUAUAGUUAUCCUUCAUUGCUUAGGAUCCAUGUGUGAUAGAUCUCAGCUGGUAAGAAGUCCUAUUUUAAUUUUUGUGUGUGUGGUGGUGGGGAGGCAGAGCUCAGCUGGGGAAGAGAAGCGGGUUGUCAGCCCCCGAUCGUGA
rnacentral:lncRNA from 1 species